rnacentral:rRNA from 1 species
AGAGUUUGAUCCUGGCUCAGGAUGAACGCUGACAGAAUGCUUAACACAUGCAAGUCUUUGGCGAAGCUGUGCUUGCACAGCCUAGCCAAGGCGGACGGGUGAGUAACGCGUAAGGAACUUGCCCUGCAGUCAGGGAUAACAGACGGAAACGACUGAUAAGACCUGGUAAAGUCAGGCGGACUCAUGUCCAGCCUGAUGAAAAGAGAUGCUGCAGGAGAGCCUUGCGUCCUAUUAGCUUGUUGGUGGGGUAACGGCCCACCAAGGCAAUGAUAGGUAGCCGGCCUGAGAGGGUGGACGGCCACAAGGGGACUGAGAUACGGCCCUUACUCCUACGGGAGGCAGCAGUGGGGAAUAUUGGACAAUGGGGGCAACCCUGAUCCAGCAAUUCUGUGUGCACGAAGACGGUUUUCGGAUUGUAAAGUGCUUUCAGCAGGGAAGAAGGAAGUGACGGUACCUGCAGAAGAAGCGACGGCUAAAUACGUGCCAGCAGCCGCGGUAAUACGUAUGUCGCAAGCGUUAUCCGGAAUUAUUGGGCAUAAAGGGCAUCUAGGCGGCCAGAUAAGUCUGGGGUGAAAACUUGCGGCUCAACCGCAAGCCUGCCCUGGAAACUAUGUGGCUAGAGUACUGGAGAGGUGGACGGAACUGCACGAGUAGAGGUGAAAUUCGUAGAUAUGUGCAGGAAUGCCGAUGAUGAAGAUAGUUCACUGGACGGUAACUGACGCUGAAGUGCGAAAGCCGGGGGAGCGAACAGGAUUAGAUACCCUGGUAGUCCCGGCCGUAAACGAUGAUUACUGGGUGUGGGCAGGAAGACUGUCUGUGCCGAAGCGAAUGCGAUAAGUAAUCCGCCUGGGGAGUACGACCGCAAGGUUGAAACUCAAAGGAAUUGACGGGGACCCGCACAAGCGGUGGAGCAUGU